UUCGCAAUGCCCGAAAGGGUGACGAAGCGACGCCGCGUGGGUGAGGAAGGCCUUCGGGUUGUAAAGCCCUGUCAGGAGUUAAGAAAUGUAAGUGUGCUAAUAUCGCAUUUACUUGACGAAGGCUCCAAAGGAAGUCACGGCUAACUCUGUGCCAGCAGCCGCGGUAAUACAGAGGUGGCAAGCGUUGUUCGGAAUUAUUGGGCGUAAAGAGCACGUAGGUGGGUUUGUAAGUCAGAUGUGAAAGCCUCCUGUUCAACGGGAGAAUUGCAUCUGAAACUACUAACCUUGAGUGUAGGAGGGGAGAAUGGAACUUCUGGUGGAGCGGUGAAAUGCGUAGAUAUCAGAAGGAACGCCGGCGGCGAAAGCGAUUCUCUGGCCUAUUACUGACACUCAGUGUGCGAAAGCUAGGGGAGCAAACGGGAUUAGAUACCCCGGUAGUCCUAGCCGUAAACGAUGGUCACUAAGUAGAGGGGUUUU
rnacentral:rRNA from 1 species